GCGGCGGUAGUUCAGUUGGUAGAACGUCUCGUUGCCAACGAGAAGGUCGCCAGUUCGAACCUGGUUCGCCGCU
rnacentral:tRNA from 2 species